CCGGGCUAUCCGGGCCACAAUGUGUAUUCUAUUGAGCGGGGCUUGCGGUGUGAGAUCGUUAAGUGAUUUAUUUUGUCUUGUAAAAUUGGCCCAAUUUAUUGCUGCCGAGAUGACUCAAUCGUGAAAACCAAGGAAGCCCAAACUAAGUGCAGCCCAUCAGCUCAAUAAAAUGAUUGGCUAAGUCCAAAAUAAAAUUUAUGGGGCCCGGUAGAAUUGUUGUAGCCCAUUUGGAGCCCAGUUUCUUUCUUUUUUUCUUUUUACGUGUAUAAACCCUCACGCUUUGAUGAGGAGGUGAUAAAAGGAAACGAUCGCAGAUUGUGGCUCUUGUCGUAGGCGCUGCCAUGUCUAGUCGAAAGUUGUGGAAGAUCGCCUACAAGAGUGGUCUGACGGUGGUUAUGACCAGUGGCUGCAAUCGAUCUGCUUAUUCUGAUGACAACCAAAGUUGGAGCUGUUGUUGGUCUGUGAAGAGCAGUGAAGGAGUGGUAGUGUUGGGCUGCUUCGGUACUCGGAUCGACCAGCGAUGUUGUUGCUUUAUUUACCGGCGACGAACAGGAAACAAGUGGUCCGACAUACGCUACUUCGUCGGAGCUGGACGUUCUUCGUCACCUGUGCUGAAGGUGGGUGGUGGAGUUGGAUGUUCCAGAUAGUCUUCUCGAUGAGUUGGGACCGACCGGUAAUGGUUCCGGCGACCUGCUACCGGAGGGGUUAAACGGGGUUUGGAGUAAAUUGAUUUCCAAAAACUUCCUGGUGAAGAAGAUGAUUCAGCUUUUGUCGACCGGUAAUGACAAAUUGUUGCCGACGGGGAACGAGGGCAAUUGCUCGGUGGUUCUAUGGGCGUCACCGGCUGCCUAAUUGUGGCGGCGAUAUGUUGUUCGGCGGUCGUUGACUGCUCUCAAAAUGGUCAUGGACCAGGUGGGUUGCCGAUUCUUGGCGUUGGUGAUCGAUUGGUAAACAAACUGUGGUGGUUUGCUCUGCUCGUCGGAGUUGGAACGAGUGGUGAACGGAUUCCAUUGUUUGAUGGUCAGAGGUGAUCGACGGUAGUGGUGUUUGGUGACCAUGUGGACCCACCUUUUGACUUUGCUGGUGCGUGUUCAAUAUAGAAAAAGUAUGAGCUGUAAAUGUUUUUCUCUCUGUCUACACACUAGCUUUUGUCUACAUUGUUUUUCUGAAAUCCAUUAAUUAAAAUGGUAAACCAUAGGGUAAAAGUAAUUAACCCUUUGUAGUGUACAAGAGUUACAGCAUAGCAUAAAUAGCGUUGUAUAUUUAGACUUAUUACUGAAAUGAUUUUUUGACGAUAUAUAAACUGAAAGACAGACUCAUCAAAA